CGGGUCCAUCUCUACGGCGGCGGCGGCGGCGAUCCGGCCGGCCGGCGACGAGGUCGCGCGCCCGGAUCCGACAAGGGGACACGGGUUGGGUUGGUAACUCCACUAGCUAACCGCCACGCGACUUCCCCAAACGAUGCUUAGGGGUUACUUGCUGGGUCCAUAUUUCCGAUUGAGCACGGGAUCCUGACCCAUGACGUACCCGGAAUGGUGUUUGUGAGGCGGACAGGUGGGACCGGCGGGCCACGAAUGAGCUGACAAGUAGGUCCAGCCAGGCACUAUUCCUGAUCCAAUGGCUUUGUGUGAGACUGAAGCUACAUUUGAACUGCUUUUCAGUACAGAUCAGAUCGGCCUUAAUUUCCUUUCCCUUCAAGUCAUAGCAAUGCCGGAAAUGUUUCUAAUGAAACGAACGCCCAGAUGUUCAACGGAACAAAAGACGAACUGUAUUGAAUUAUUCAAUGCAAUUAAGUUUAGACAGCAGAUUUCCAACAAACUGACUAGUAUAGUUCACAAAUUUCGAACAAAAUGGCUAGUGUUCCUGUAAGAGAAUGGUGACAAGACUGACCAAACUCAAACUUGGUUGGGUCACGGGUCAUAUUUAACCCACUCUGAAUUUCUAUCCAUCUUGCUGAACAA